rnacentral:rRNA from 1 species
AACGAACGCUGGCGGCAUGCCUAACGCAUGCAAGUCGAACGAGACCUUCGGGUCUAGUGGCGCACGGGUGCGUAACGCGUGGGAACCUACCCUUAGGUUCGGACUAACUCCCCGACAGGGGUGCUAAUACCGGAUAAUGUCUUCGGCCCAAAGAUUUAUCGCCUUUGGAUGGGCCCGCGUUGGAUUAGCUAGUUGGUAGGGUAAAAGCCUACCAAGGCGACGAUUCGUAGCUGGUCUGAGAGGAUGAGCAGCCACACUGGGAGUGAGACACGGCCCAGACUCCUACGGGAGGCAGCAGUGGGGAAUAGUGGACAAUGGGCGAAAGCCUGAUCCAGCAAUGCCGCGUGAGUGAUGAAGGCCUUAGGGUUGUAAAGCUCUUUUACCCGGGAUGAUAAUGACAGUACCGGGAGAAUAAGCUACGGCUAACUCCGUG